rnacentral:misc_RNA from 1 species
UACAGAGGGUGCAAGCGUUAAUCGGAAUUACUGGGCGUAAAGCGCACGCAGGCGGUCUGUCAGGUCGGAUGUGAAAUCCCCGGCCUCAACCUGGGAACUGCAUCCGAAACUGGCAGGCUAGAGUCUCGUAGAGCGGGGUAGAAUUCCAGGUGUAGCGGUGAAAUGCGUAGAGAUCUGGAGGAAUACCGGUGGCGAAGGCGGCCCCCUGGACUAAGACUGACGCUCAGGUGCGAAAGCGUGGGGGGCAAACAUG